rnacentral:rRNA from 1 species
GUCUAUGGCCAUACCACCCUGAACAUGCCCAAUCUCGUCUGAUCUCAGAAGCUAAGCAGGGUUGGACCACGUUAAUACUUAGAUGGGAGACUGCCUGGGAAUACCGGGUGCUCUAGGCU